GGGAAUAUUGCACAAUGGGCGCAAGCCUGAUGCAGCAACGCCGCGUGAGCGAAGAAGGUCUUCGGAUCGUAAAGCUCUGUCCUUGAGGAAGAAGGAAGUGACGGUACUCAAGGAGGAAGCUCCGGCUAACUACGUGCCAGCAGCCGCGGUAAUACGUAGGGGGCAAGCGUUAUCCGGAAUUAUUGGGCGUAAAGAGUACGUAGGUGGUUUUGUAAGCGCGGGGUGAAAGGCAGUGGCUUAACCAUUGUAAGCCUUGCGAACUGCAAGACUUGAGUGCAGGAGAGGAAAGCGGAAUUCCUAGUGUAGCGGUGAAAUGCUUAGAUAUUAGGAGGAACACCAGUGGCGAAGGCGGCUUGCUGGACGAUGACUGACGCUGAGGCUCGAAAGCGUGGGGAGCAAACAGG
rnacentral:rRNA from 1 species